UAUUCCAAAAGGCCACAUGCUUCAGAUUUUAGCAAAUGUAACUACAACUAUCUGUUCUGUGGGGGGAGUUUUAAAAGGUAACAUAGUAACAUGUUGUAUCUCCCCUUGUAGCUUGCCGAAUCCUUAUUUAAUCAAUGCCACUCAGAAAUGCAUAAGAACCACUCUGAUGUGCUGAUGGGCACAAUCUCAAUGCCACUCACAAAUGCAUAAGAACCAUUCCGAUGUGCUGAUGGG
rnacentral:lncRNA from 1 species